UACGAAGGGGGCUAGCGUUGUUCGGAAUUACUGGGCGUAAAGCGCGCGCAGGCGGUUCGAUAAGUUAGGGGUGAAAUCCCCGGGCUCAACCCGGGAACUGCCUUUAAGACUGUCGAGCUAGAGGACGAGAGAGGUGAGUGGAAUUCCCAGUGUAGAGGUGAAAUUCGUAGAUAUUGGGAAGAACACCGGUGGCGAAGGCGGCUCACUGGCUCGUUUCUGACGCUGAGGCGCGAAAGCGUGGGGAGCAAACAGGAUUAGAUACCCUGGUAGUCCACGCCCUAAACGAUGAGUGCCAGGUGUUGGGAAGCUUAGCUUCUCGGCGCCGCAGCUAACGCAUUAAGCACUCCGCCUGGGGAGUACGGCCGCAGGGUUAAA
rnacentral:rRNA from 1 species